CGCGGCCUAGGCCCAGCGCCCGGCCCCGAGCCUCGCCCGAUGCCCAGGCCUCGGCUCGGAGUCCCGCUCCCCGCGCUGGUGACUCGGAUGGCCGGCCCAAGGCAUGGGAAUGCACCAGCACUCAAUUUGAAGACCUUUAUCAAACCACCCAGCGCAGCUCCAGCUUUGGUUCCAAUCACACACCCAGGGUGGGAGUGGCUGGGAUAGAUGUGCCGCAACCAGACCAAAGCGCUGAAUAACUCCCAGGGAGUGAUGACGAAUCUGAUGGCCAGGCUGGAGGAACUCUCCAUGUCCUUCCGCAGGGAGCUGCCCCAGGGGUAGGACGCCAGCUGGGGUGAGGGGC
ensembl:lncRNA